CCCCCAGAUGUUCUGGGCCGCACGCGCGCUACACUGAACAGUUCAACAAGUCUUAACCUUGGCCGAUAGGUCUGGGUAAUCUUUGAACGCUGUUCGUGAUUGGGAUAGACCUUUGCAAUUAUGGGUCUUCAACGAGGAAUUCCUAGUAAACGCAAGUCAUCAGCUUGCAUUGAUUACGUCCCUGCCCUUUGUACACACCGCCCGUCGCACCUACCGAUUGAAUGGUCCGGUGAAAUCUCGGGACGGCGGCUUGGUCGCUUGCGUCCGACUGCUGAAACUUGAUUAAACCAUAUCAUUUAGAGGAAGGUGAAGUCGUAACA
rnacentral:rRNA from 1 species